AUCACUUCUCUGCCUUUUGGCUAAGAUCAUGUGUAGUAUCUGUUCUAAUAUCAGAUACGUUCCUGAUUUAGGGGGGGAAUAUUAAUCUGAUUUUUGUAGGAAGGAGUGGGAUUAGGAGCUUGCUCCACCAACUUCGCGUAGCGUCCUGGUAUUGCAAUGUUUCUGGGAAUGGUGCACCCGUC